rnacentral:rRNA from 1 species
UAUCUCUGUAGAGUCUGCAUAUCAAUAAGCGGAGGAAAAGAAACUAACUAGGAUUCCCUCAGUAACGGCGAGUGAAGCGGGAAGAGCUCAAAAUUUGAAAUCUUCAAGGUUUUACCUUGACGAAUUGUAGUUUAAAGAAGUGUUUUCUGUUGGAGUUUUGGUAAAAGUUCUUUGGAAUAGGACAUCAUAGAGGGUGAGAAUCCCGUAUUUGACCAUUAUUUUCCAGCUUUGUGAUACACUUUCAAAGAGUCGGAUUGUUUGGGAAUGCAGUCCAAAAUGGGUGGUAAAUUUCAUCUAAAGCUAAAUAUUGGCGAGAGACCGAUAGCGAACAAGUACCGUGAGGGAAAGAUGAAAAGAACUUUGAAAAGAGAGUUAAACAGUACGUGAAAUUGUCAAAAGGGAAGCGUUUGACACCAGUGUUGUUUUCUCGAAAAUCAAUUAAAAAAGGCGAGGAUUUUGUGUUGUAUUGACUUUAUCAGCUUUCUGCACUCUUUUCUUGUCUUUUUUAAUGCACUUUUCGUUUAACAAGUCAACAUCAAUUUCUUUUGUUGUAAAAGGGUCAUUGGAAGGUGGCUUUCUUUUCGGAGAAAGUGUUUAUAGCCUUUGGCCUCUGCAAUCGGAGAGAUUGAGGUCUGCAGCGUAGAUCCUUCGGGGUUAGAUACAUUUGUGCUAAGUUAUAGCCUUUCAUAGACAACUUGUUGACUAUGAUCAGUCAUGUAGCUUACUCGUUUAUGCUAUUUUACCUACGCUUAGGAUGUUGAGUCAUCACACAUCUCUA